UCUGGGCCCUGCCUCCGGUGCCUACUGAGCUGAUACUCAGUUGCUUUGGUUUAAACUGGCUCAGUUCAGCAGGAACAGGAGUCUGGCUCCAGCU
rnacentral:pre_miRNA from 1 species